CUCUUAGUAAUAAUUUAGAGUAUUACCUGCUCAAUGAUUAUUUAAAUGGCCGCAGUCAAUCUGUGCUAAGGUAGCAUAAUCAUUUGCUUUCUAAAUAAAAGAUAGAAUGAAAGGUUAUACGAUUAAUAACUUUUUCUUUAAAUUUAAAAAACUUACUUUUAAUGUUAAAAAUCAUUAAUAAAUCAGUUAGACGAUAAGACCCUAUUAAACUUAUUAUUUAGUUGGGGUGACAUUAUAACAAAAUCUUAUAAAAAUAAACAAUAUAACCUUAAUAAAUUAAGAUUUUAAAUUAGUUACUAUAGGGAUAACAGCGCAAUAUUUUUUCAGAGCUCCUAUCCAAAAAAAAGAUUACGACCUCGAUGUUGAAUUAAUUAAACUUAAUAUAAGCAAAAUUUAUUAAAGUAAGUCUGUUCGACUUUUAAAUAAUU
rnacentral:rRNA from 1 species